UAAUUGAGAUCACCUGUCACGCACCCCUUUAUUAAAGGUGAACACAAUGGGUUUGGUUUACUUUUCGCAUCGGCCUGUGUCAAUCGAGGUUGAUUUUAGUGAGGGUUGAAAGUUUUCGAUCUAGUUUGCAGAUCACUAUUGUCACUUUAUACAAACUGACAGUAUGCGUUGUUGCGUGUUUGUUUUUGUGGGCAUUUGACUGAACAGCCCAGACAAAUAUUGCUACCAACAUGGCACUUCGAAACAGACCACCGCAGUGUUAGAUGACUGACAAGAUCUAUGGGGGGGCCCCCUUUGGGCCCCCCCAUACCAACUUAGUCUUCAAAGGAAUCUAGUGCCAUGGGACUCUAGUGUCUUCAAAACAUCCUGCUGCGUUGGCCGUAGUGGCUUCCAGAGCCAUCUUUCGGUCUUGGUCAGGAUUUGUUACAGUUGCCCUUCAAUGGGGACUUGACUGGUGAGUCUACUGGAUUAAUCAGUAGCGGUACUUUGCCCAACAGAUUUGAUGGCAUGACUACAGGGUGACAAAGACAAUUAUUCCCUGCCUAUCAAAAGAGACUUCUAAAACAUAUCUGCUAGAACAGUUCCUAUACUUUUUGUAUAAUUUGGUCAUGCUGAAAAUUUACUUUUUGUAGUUGCUCCAUAUUUAGUUCUUUGACAGCCUCACCUGCUAGAAAAGUCUAUUCAAAUCGGCUAAAUAUAAUGAACUAAAUUAAUAGCCA
ensembl:lncRNA